rnacentral:lncRNA from 1 species
CAGCUAAGCACCUUAACCGGCUUUCCUCUCUAGAACAAGAUGUGUGAGGAAAUGACUCUUUGCUGUAAGCGUAAAUGAAAUAGCGGGAAAUAGAUUAUGAACAGAAUGAUACCACGGAGAUCUCAAUUUUUUCUCUUAGUCCAACACAAAAUCGCAGCUUGACAAACUUUUAAUAAGUCUUAUUACCUCCCACAUGUUAGUGUUUUGCUUAUCAAGUUUUGGGCCAAUACUCUAUUCUUUCGCAUAAAUUUUUAUUUUCCCCACCGUUCUCAAGCUGAGCUAGAUGGAUUAGUUUCUUUGCUGCAAUCAUCACUUGUUUAAUUGCAGACAAAGAAUUGUUGGAGUGGGCAUAAACUUUGUUGAAUUACAUCCUCUUUCUUUCCUUUAUUGCAUUCUUGGAUUUCAAAGCACAAGAAAUUUCUUAUGUAAAAAUGUAGAAAACAUGCUCUGUGUCUUGUCCUACUUUGUUACUACAAUAAGUGCACAACCAACAUCCUAUCAUGCCAUGGAUCCGAAAAGCUGAAGCUUUACUCUUGAAUAGGAACUUAUUUCCUGAAAAUAUAGGUAUUGUGCUAGGAUAUGGGUUCUUUCUCCUUUUUAUUAUACUCUAGUGUUAUCCUCGUGUUUCCUAUUUUUAGAUUGAUAUUAGUACCUGAUGUUUCCUUUGCUUCCUUUUUAUUUUUUCUGGUUGUUGCUACUAUCUCGCUUUUCAUAGUCUUUUCUCUUUUGUCAUAACUGCUGUGUUUUUGCUUUAUUGAGCCGAAGGUCAUCCAACGACAACCUCUCUACUUUCACAAGGUAGGGGUAAGGUUUGCGUACAUAUUACCCUCCCCAGACCCCACUUGUAGGAAUACACUGAGUAUGUUGCUCUAGGACAAAAUGGUCAUAUAGCUUUUAAAGGAUAUUUCUGUAAGUUAACUUUGGACUUAGUAGGUUCCUACUUGUAGUAUAGUAUGAUAAUGUUGUGCAUUACAAGUAUGAAAAGCAUUUUACCGACGAAAGUAAUUACAAGAUCCACCUUCAAGUUUCUGCACUGGUGAAACUAUUAAAUUGAAAUUGAUGCAAUAAAUUAAAAUAAGUUCCAAUUUUGUUCAAAUAUUGAUGAGUGUCAAUCUGCUUUGAUAUGUGUGAGCUGAGACUAUUUAAGGAAUACCUACCCUAACCAAAACAAAAUAUGUUUACUAAUUUGCAAUUUGCUUGGAGAAACCAUUUGCUUAUUUUUAUUGAUUUAGUUCUGA